CACAAUUUCUAUCUACCAGAUUCAUUCAUAAGGUAUUGGUAUAUAUGGGGCUUUAGUAUAUGAUGCUAGAAUACUACCCAAAAUGCUGCUCAGCGAGACUGAACCUGAGACUAUAUGGUUGCAAAGCAAGUUUCUAACUACACAAUCAAGUCUGAAGAUUAUUGAACUGAUAACCAAAUAUCUUACUAACUUACUUUCACAGAAUUCUUAUACUUCAUUACUUUUAGAGCUUUAUACUUCUGUAGCCCUUUGAUU